rnacentral:rRNA from 1 species
AACGUAGGUGGCGAGCGUUAUCCGGAUUUACUGGGCGUAAAGCGUGUGCAGGUGGGCUGAUAAGUGGUGUAUGAAAUCGCCGCGCUCAACGUGGCGGGGUUAUGCCAGACUGUCAGUCUAGAGGUCGAGAGAGGGAUGUGGAAUUCCGGGAGUAGUGGUGAAAUGCGUAGAGAUCCGGAGGAACCCCAGAGGCGAAGGCGGCAUCCUGGCUCGAAUCUGACACUCAGACACGACAGCAUGGGGAGCGAACGGG